rnacentral:tRNA from 1 species
ACCUGGCUGGCUCAGUUGGAAGAGCACAUGACUCUUGAUCUUGGGGCCAUGAGUUUGAGCCCCAUGUUGGGUG